rnacentral:rRNA from 1 species
GAUGAACGCCGGCGGUGUGCCUAAUACAUGCAAGUCGUACGCACUGGCCCAACUGAUUGAUGGUGCUUUCACCUGAUUGACGAUGGAUCACCAGUGAGUGGCGGACGGGUGAGUAACACGUAGGUAACCUGCCCCGGAGCGGGGGAUAACAUUUGGAAACAGAUGCUAAUACCGCAUAACAACAAAAGCUGCAUGGCUUUUGUUUGAAAGAUGGCUUUGGCUAUCACUCUGGGAUGGACCUGCGGUGCAUUAGCUAGUUGGUAAGGUAACGGCUUACCAAGGCGAUGAUGCAUAGCCGAGUUGAGAGACUGAUCGGCCACAAUGGAACUGAGACACGGUCCAUACUCCUACGGGAGGCAGCAGUAGGGAAUCUUCCACAAUGGGCGCAAGCCUGAUGGAGCAACACCGCGUGAGUGAAGAAGGGUUUCGGCUCGUAAAGCUCUGUUGUUGGAGAAGAACGUGCGUGAGAGUAACUGUUCACGCAGUGACGGUAUCCAACCAGAAAGUCAUGGCUAACUACGUGCCAGCAGCCGCGGUAAUACGUAGGUGGCAAGCGUUAUCCGGAUUUAUUGGGCGUAAAGCGAGCGCAGGCGGUUGCUUAGGUCUGAUGUGAAAGCCUUCGGCUUAACCGAAGAAGUGCAUCGGAAACCGGGCGACUUGAGUGCAGAAGAGGACAGUGGAACUCCAUGUGUAGCGGUGGAAUGCGUAGAUAUAUGGAAGAACACCAGUGGCGAAGGCGGCUGUCUGGUCUGCAACUGACGCUGAGGCUCGAAAGCAUGGGUAGCGAACAGGAUUAGAUACCCUGGUAGUCCAUGCCGUAAACGAUGAGUGCUAGGUGUUGGAGGGUUUCCGCCCUUCAGUGCCGGAGCUAACGCAUUAAGCACUCCGCCUGGGGAGUACGACCGCAAGGUUGAAACUCAAAGGAAUUGACGGGGGCCCGCACAAGCGGUGGAGCAUGUGGUUUAAUUCGAAGCUACGCGAAGAACCUUACCAGGUCUUGACAUCUUGCGCUAACCUUAGAGAUAAGGCGUUCCCUUCGGGGACGCAAUGACAGGUGGUGCAUGGUCGUCGUCAGCUCGUGUCGUGAGAUGUUGGGUUAAGUCCCGCAACGAGCGCAACCCUUGUUACUAGUUGCCAGCAUUAAGUUGGGCACUCUAGUGAGACUGCCGGUGACAAACCGGAGGAAGGUGGGGACGACGUCAGAUCAUCAUGCCCCUUAUGACCUGGGCUACACACGUGCUACAAUGGACGGUACAACGAGUCGCAAGCUCGCGAGAGUAAGCUAAUCUCUUAAAGCCGUUCUCAGUUCGGACUGUAGGCUGCAACUCGCCUACACGAAGUCGGAAUCGCUAGUAAUCGCGGAUCAGCAUGCCGCGGUGAAUACGUUCCCGGGCCUUGUACACACCGCCCGUCACACCAUGGGAGUUUGUAACGCCCAAAGUCGGUGGCCUAACCUUUAUGGAGGGAGCCGCCUAAGGCGGGACAGAUGACUGGGGUGAAGUCGUAACAAGGUAGCCGUAGGAGAACCUGCGGCUGGAUCACCUCCUUUCUAAGGAAUAAAACGGAACCUACACAUCGAAGAAAUUUUGUUUAGUUUUGAGGGGUUUACCCUCAGAGCUUGUACUUUGAAAACUAAAUACUAUCUAAUUUCUUUAUUAACAAAACAAUAAACCGAGAACACCGCGUUAUUUGAGUUUUAAUUAACGAAUUAUAAUCGCUAACUCAAUUAAUCAGACAAUCCGUGAUUGUUUAGGUUAAGUUAUGAAGGGCGCAUGGUGAAUGCCUUGGUACUAGGAGCCGAUGAAGGACGGGACUAACACCGAUAUGCUUCGGGGAGCGGUAAGUACGCUUUGAUCCGGAGAUUUCCGAAUGGGGAAACCUAAUCAGCUUAGUCGCUGAUUACUUGACUAGUGAAUACAUAGCUAGCAAGAGGUAGACGCAGUGAACUGAAACAUCUUAGUAGCUGCAGGAAGAGAAAGAAACAUCGAUUCCCUGAGUAGCGGCGAGCGAAAAGGGAAGAGCCCAAACCAACAAGCUUGCUUGUUGGGGUUGUAGGACUGAACAUCGGAGUUACCAAAGUGCGACGUAGUCGCAACAGUUGGGAAGCUGUGCCAUAGAGGGUGAAAGCCCCGUAGACGAAACGUCACACUCUCUGUUCAGGAUCCUGAGUACGGCGGGACACGUGAAACCCCGUCGGAACCCGCGAGGACCAUCUCGCAAGGCUAAAUACUCCCUAGUGACCGAUAGUGAACC